GGGAAUGUAGCUUAGGGGUAGAGUGCUUGCCUAGCAAGCAUGAAACCCUGGGUUCAGUUCCUCAGUACCA
rnacentral:tRNA from 1 species